rnacentral:rRNA from 1 species
AGUAGCCGCGGUAAUUCCAGCUCCAAUAGCGUAUAUUAAAGUUGUUGCAGUUAAAAAGCUCGUAGUUGAAUUUCGGGGUCAGUAGGUCGGUCGUGCCACUGGUAUGAACUGGUUUUACUGAUUCCUCCCUCUUGAAGAACUGUAAUGCCAUUAAUUUGGUGUUGCAGGGAAUCAGGACUGUUACUUUGAAAAAAUUAGAGUGUUUAAAGCAGGCUUUAGCUUGAAUACAUUAGCAUGGAAUAAUGAAAUAGGACGUUUGAUCCUAUUUUGUUGGUUUCUAGGAUUGACGUAAUGAUUAAUAGGGAUAGUUGGGGGCAUUAGUAUUCAAUUGUCAGAGGUGAAAUUCUUGGAUUUUAUUGAAGUACUAACUACUGCGAAAGCAUUUGCCAGGAUGUUUUCAUUAAUCAAGAACGAAAGUUAGGGGAUCGGAAGACGAUCAGAUACCGUCGUAGUCUUUAACCAUAAACUAUGCCGACUAGGGAUCGGGAUGGAUGUUUAAUUUUUAUGUCUUCAGUUCGGC